ACCAGGCCUGAUCAAGGCUGAAGCCAGGAACCAGAAGAGAUUGAGGAUAAUAGCCAAGACUCUCCAGCAGAAGCAUCAGGUGAAGGAAGGCUGAAAUUUGUACUCUACAAGUAGGAUAAAAUAAUUCAUCAGACAUCUGAA
rnacentral:lncRNA from 1 species